rnacentral:misc_RNA from 1 species
GAUGAAGAAAGCAGCGAAAUGCGAUAAGUAAUGUGAAUUGCAGAAUUCAGUGAAUCAUCGAAUCUUUGAACGCACAUUGCGCCCCUUGGUAUUCCGAGGGGCAUGCCUGUUCGAGCGUCAUUAUAACCCCUCAAGCUCAGCUUGGUGUUGGGGCCUGCUGCACUGGCAGCCCUUAAAAUCAGUGGCGGCGCCAUCUGGCUCUAAGCGUAGUAAUUCUUCUCGCUAUGGAGUCCUGGUGGAUGCUUGCCAUCAACCCCCAAUUUUUCUAUGGUUGACCUCGGAUCAGGUAGGGAUACCCGCUGAACUUAAGCAUAUCAAUAAGCGGAGGA